rfam:Gossypium raimondii Chr11_contig_1118, whole genome shotgun sequence.
AAUUUUGAGAGUAUUCAAUUUUUUUAGGUUUUGUAGAAUAUAUAAAGGGGAAGGGAAGAGAAACAAACACCUUUAAAUAAAAUGACUUUGACACUCAUGAUUGUCAAGGUCGUGAGCUUCUUUUCCCGAAGAAGAAGUAUUGAAGGUAUCUGGUGAAUAAGCAUGACCUAACUCUGUGCCAGCAGCCGCGGUAAUACAGAGGAUGCAAGCAUUAUCCAGAAUGAUUGGGGGUAAAGCUUCUAUAGGUGGCUUUUUAAAUCCACCAUCAAAUCCCAGGGCUCAACCCUGGACAGGUGGUGGAAACUACCAAGUUGGAGUACGGUAGGGGCAAAGGGAAAUUUCGGUGGAGUGGUGAAAUGCGUAGAUAUCAGAAAGAACACCAAUAGUGAAAGCACUCUGCUGGGCCAACACUGACAUUGAAAGACGAAAGUUAGGGGAGCGAAUGGGAUUAGAUACCCCAGUAGUCCUAGCUGUAAACGAUGGAUACUAGGCGUUGUUCGUACCGACCCGUGCAGUGUUGUAGCUAACGCAUUAAGUAUCACGCCUGGGGAGUACGUUCGCAAGAAUGAAACUCAAAGGAAUUGACGGGGCCCACACAAGCAGUGGAAUAUGUGGUUUAAUUCGAUGCAAAGCGAAGAACCUUACCAGGGCUUGAUAUACCGCGAAUCCUCUUGAAAGAGCGGGUUGCCUUCAGGAACGCGGACAUAGGUGGUGCAUGGCUGUCAUCAACUCGUACUAUAAGGUGUUGGGUUAAGUCUUGCAAUGAGCGCAACCCUCGUGUUUAGUUACCACCUUUGAGUUUGGAACCUUGAGCAGACUGCCAGUGAUAAGCCAGAGGAAGGUGAGCUAACUCCAGAAACCCGUCCUCAGUUCAUAUUGUAGGCUGUAACUAGCCUACAUAAAGUCGAAAUCGUUAGUAAUCACCGGUCAGCCAUACGACGGUGAAUUCAUUACCGGGCCUUGUACACACCGUCUGUUACACUAUGGGAGCUGGCCAUGCCCGAAGGCAGGACUAGUGACUGGAGUGAAGUCGUAACAAGGUACCCAUACUGAAAGGUGCAGUUGGAUCACCUCUUUU